UACGAAGGGGGCUAGCGUUGUUCGGAAUCACUGGGCGUAAAGCGCACGUAGGCGGAUUGCUAAGUCAGGGGUGAAAUCCUGGAGCUCAACUCCAGAACUGCCUUUGAUACUAAGGAUCUUGAGUUCGGGAGAGGUGAGUGGAACUGCGAGUGUAGAGGUGAAAUUCGAUAGAUACUUCGCAAGAACACCAGUGGCGAAGGCGGCUCACUGGCCCGAUACUGACGCUGAGGCACGAAAGCGUGGGGAGCAAACAGG
rnacentral:rRNA from 1 species